GUGGGGAAUUUUGGACAAUGGGCGCAAGCCUGAUCCAGCCAUGCCGCGUGCAGGAUGAAGGCCUUCGGGUUGUAAACUGCUUUUGUACGGAACGAAAAGACUCUGGUUAAUACCUGGGGUCCAUGACGGUACCGUAAGAAUAAGCACCGGCUAACUACGUGCCAGCAGCCGCGGUAAUACGUAGGGUGCGAGCGUUAAUCGGAAUUACUGGGCGUAAAGCGUGCGCAGGCGGUUAUGUAAGACAGAUGUGAAAUCCCCGGGCUCAACCUGGGAACUGCAUUUGUGACUGCGUAGCUAGAGUACGGCAGAGGAGGAUGGAAUUCCGCGUGUAGCAGUGAAAUGCGUAGAUAUGCGGAGGAACACCGAUGGCGAAGGCAAUCCCCUGGGCCUGUACUGACGCUCAUGCACGAAAGCGUGGGGAGCAAACAGGAUUAGAAACCCCUGUAGUCC
rnacentral:rRNA from 1 species